rnacentral:rRNA from 1 species
UUCGGAUCGGAAACGACGGGCAAUGGGUGAGUAUACAUAUGCAACCUGCCCGUAGCUGGAGAAUACUUGAGGAGGGGGAAAUUAAUACUCCAUAAUAUUCUAGUAUCGCAUGUUAUUAGAAUUAAAGCUUCGGUGGCUACGGAUGGGCAUAUGUCCCAUUAGCUUGUUGGUGAGGUAACUGCUCACCAAGGCUACGAUGGGUAGGGGGUCUGAGAGGAUGAUCCCCCACACUGGUACUGAGACACGGACCAGACUCCUACGGAGAGGCAGCAGUGAGGAAUAUUGGUCAAUGGGCGAAAGCCUGAACCAGCCAUGCCGCGUGCAGGAUGACAGUCCUACGGAUUGUAAACUGCUUUUCUGCAAGAAGAAAUGUUCCGACGUGUCGGGAUUUGACGGUAUUGCAGGAAUAAGCAUCGGCUAACUCCGUGCCAGCAGCCGCGGUAAUACGGAGGAUGCAAGCGUUAUCCGGAUUCAUUGGGUUUAAAGGGUGCGUAGGCGGAUUAGAUAGUCAAAGGUGAAAGCCUGCAGCUUAACUGUAGAAGUGCCUUUGAUACUGCUAAUCUUGAGUACAGUUGAGGCGAGUGGAAUGUGUAAGUGUAGCGGUGAAAUGCAUAGAUACUACACAGAACAACAAUUGAGAAGGCAGAUCGAUAAGCUGUUACUGACGCUCAGGCACGAAAGCGUGGGGAGCGAACAGGAUUAGAUACCC